CAAUGUUGUGUAACACCUUGGACGUAUAACACACUACACACAACAUUGAACGGGGGAAGGGGGUUUGCUAUGCUUGUUAUUGAUGUGGGAGUCAAAUUUCGCACAGUCAGUGUCAAGUGCGCCAAUGUUUUUGACCAGGAUUGUCCGAAUAUAAAAAUGAAACUAAAAUUUAUGUACAUAUAUAAUUUUGACUCAGAGGUGUUUUCUACGUAUGUUGGGUGGCGUGUUCUAGAUGAUUUCGAUGGGAGUUAUUGAAAACCUAGCGUGCGCGUCGUAAUGUUGAUAAUUAUGACGUCAUAUGUAUGUGUGUGUGUGUGUGUGUGUGUGUGUGUGUGUGUGUGGGGGAGGGGGGUUGGUUUUACUAUGAAUCAUGAUAAUUCCGUGUACAUAAAAUGAGGCUGGCUACAAAAUAAAAUUGAAUAAUAUGCAUUUCGAUAAUUAGAUUCAUUUAAGGAAGGUUUACAGAGAAAACACGGCAAAGACACGGGCUUUUGUACCUUAUUAUAGAAAGGAAUCGGCCGGUUUUCCAAUAGGAAGAUCGCGAGAAAAUGUCAUAAAAGCCCUUUAUCAGUAGCAAGAAUAUAGAGGGAAGACCAACAACCAGCUGCGCUGAGAUCUAAACCGUUAAAAGGUAACAACUCAAGGGUCGCCCAAGAAAAGUUGACGAGCGAUCGUAAUUGUCGCUAUAGUUUAUGUGAAAGGUGUGGUUCUCAAAGUACCCUAUGAGAAAAUGAAUGGCAAUUUCUUUGCAGAGUUCAUUGAAAAGCAUAUUAAUACUUGUUUUGCAAAGUGCGGACGUAAAAAAACGAUCGUCGCCCGUUUCUCAUGGAUAAUGACCCAUCACAAACGAGUAAAGUAGCGCGAAAAGCAAUGGAAAAAAUCGAGGUUGAAUUUCACGAGAUUCCGGCUAGAUCGCCUGACCUGAAUCCGAUUGAAAAUCUCUUUCACUUGGUAAAGAAAAGUCUCGAGAAUGAAGCAAUUGAAAAUAAUAUAACGUAAGAAACGUUCCAAGACUUUUCAGCGCGGGUUUUAAAAUCCUUGGAAAAUCUGUCAACUGAUGUAAUCUAUCGUACUAUUUCAAGCCCGUCAAGUGGAGUAGAUGCUGUUCUUAAAGCAGGAGGAAAUCGCAUAAAAUACUAGGAGUUCUAUCUUUUCCUGUUAUAUAUAGUAAUUCAAGGCAGAAUAAGGGCAGUAUAGAUCAAAAUAGGUGCAGCCAUUUUCUCAAAUAGGCAAUUAGCUUGCUGUCAACAAGUAGAUUAAAUGCUAAGUACAAUGACACAUCUUCACAGCGUGACUCCAAUGGUGCAGCAACGCAAAAUUACAAACAGUGUUCCCUUGAUAUUUCCUAAUCAUUUGCCAAGGAUGCAAAAAUUUUUGUUUUCGAAUACACAAAGUGGUUUGCAUUACUUGAAUAAAUGCAUUUAUUCAUUUUAAAAUCUUAUUUAGGUCAUUAUUGCUAAAUUAAGAUCAGUG